AUCUACCUGUAGUGUAGUGUGUAGGGGCAGGCAUGGCUCCGGUUACUGGUUCUGUGUUCUAUCAGCACAUUCUUCAAUGGAACAUGUUUUUGUGAAAUUUGAAAAGUUGAAGUCGAUAAAAUCCGUUUAAUAAAACAAAAUAUUGUUUUGAUUAGAGGUCAGCCAUUUUAUGACGAUGUGUCAUUCCACCUAUAAAAGUUUUAAAAAAGGACUAAAUAGAUUUAACCUACAGUUCGACUCAUAAUUGAAUAAGAAAUGAGAAAUUGCAUCGUGUGAUUGACUGAGGAGAGUGAUUUUUUGUGGACUGCACGUGUUCUGUGAGCUUUAUCUGCCCUUCUCUUCAGUUAAACUUGUACCGAGGCUGUAGUCCGAGUGUAAUCAUCGCCUGCAGUAAAAUGAUGGCCUGGUCAGAUUAACUUAGUAGAAAUUGAAAUACAUUUUAUUUCAUUUUAUUUUCAGUCAUUUAGCCACAGGUAUAUAAUUAUGUUCCAUGUGAUCAUAAUCAUUGUAUAUAUGUAUACAUGUAUAAAUUAAAGGAACUUGUAUAAAUCAAACAUGUGCAUGUACAUGUAUGCAUGCCAUUUAAUUAUAUGCACUGUAAGAUUUUCCACAACCAGUCUUUUGAGUGCCAGAAAAUGUGAAUCUCUGGGUUAUGAUAUAUUAUGUACGCUAGACAUGGAGAGAAUAAAACAUAUCGGAAAUUGAAAAGUAAUUCUUGGCUGUACACAAUAUAAUACAAGUACACGGUAUACAUAAUUCGCCAUUAAGAUACCACACACACGCGUUUCUUCACUUUGAUACUCGCCAGCUCCGCUUCGAACGCACCCCCGGUCUUCUCAUUCACCACCUGCAGAAGUUGGACAAGAUCCGUUUUGACCCGGAAGCAGAUAAUUUUUUCCGGAGUCGGACAAUUCCGGCCACAAUAAAUGGCGAAUUCCCGCAUCUGUUUGCUGAAGCUGUACCGUCUGAUGUCGGCGUAAUACCAGGUGUAAAUUGGCUCGGGUUCGGACGAGUCGUGGGGAACCGGCACCCUUGGGCGCAGAAUUAUAGACAAGUUUCCCAAAAUGAGUUUAUAGCGUCUUGUUAAAUUGAGUUCUUUCACAUCCGGGGUUUGAAUGAUUGUGACGUCAAAAGAAUAUUCUGAAAAAAAAAAGAUUUUAAGAAUUGCUCAACUUUGAAAACAACAACUUUUUAUGCUGCCUGUAAAUCACUAUACAUUGUAUAGUACACGAGACGUAUGUAACUUUUACAGAUAUGUAAGUACAGUACUAAAGACAUUGAAGGUAAAAUAACUUUUGUGUUAAUCAAUUGUAACUACUCGGACAUUUCCGUAACUACAAAUAAUUUUAACUUUUAAUCGGUUACGGAAAAGGGCGACCGUGAUCCGAAUGUUGUGUAGUAAAAAAUCACUGGUAAUUCAAAUUUGUAAAGACUGAAUUAUGGAUUUAGAAUAAAACAUCAAGAUUAUUACUAAUAAAAAAAUUACGUCACAGACGAGCUUGCAGCUACUAUACCUAGCUCAAGUUCUAUACGUAACAAAUACAUAUUAGAAGUAAUUGGCAUUUUGAUUUGAAAUCUUUUGUUCUGAAUAAGAACUGACGAUGUUUAAGUCGCCUUACGCCGAGUUUUCAUAAUUUUAGUGCACCUUGGAUCAACCUUCGUGGUACCAAAAUUAAUUAUUAUGAAAGUAUGUUGCAGUGUAAUGAAUCGAUUAUAACGGUAUAAUAAUCAAGUUAUAAUAUCAAUGAUUCUCUGUAACUUAUGCCGAGUAACAUGUAAUCUUAUGCUUCGAAAAAUAAAAAUCCACCAAAU
rnacentral:sRNA from 1 species